rnacentral:lncRNA from 1 species
CCUAGAACCAGUGCUCUUGUUUAAGCACCUGUGGUUGGUUUGUGUCCCUGUGCAUUCUGCAGCCUACUGUCUCGGUGCUCCCCAUGUCCUGGGUGACAGUAGUGGGAGAUCAGAAGCAUCGUGUCCUGGGUGACAGUAGUGGGAGAUCGGAAGCAUCGUGUCCUGGGUGACAGUAGUGGGAGAUCGGAAGCAUCGUGUCCUGGGUGACAGUAGUGGGAGAUCGGAAGCAUCGUGUCCUGGGUGACAGUAGUGGGAGAUCGGAAGCAUCGUGUCCUGGGUGACAGUAGUGGGAGAUCGGAAGCAUCGUGUCCUGGGUGACAGUAGUGGGAGAUCAGAAGCAUCGUGUCCUGGGUGACAGUAGUGGUAGGUCAGAAGCAUCGUGUCCUGGGUGACUGUAGUGGGAGGUCAGAAGCAUCGUGUCCUGGGUGACAGUAGUGGGAGGUCAGAAGCAUCGUGUCCUGGGUGACAGUAGUGGGAGGUCAGAAGCAUCGUGUCCUGGGUGACAGUAGUGGGAGGUCGGAAGCAUCGUGUCCUGGGUGACAGUAGUGGGAGGUCAGAAGCACGUGUCCUGGGUGACAGUAGUGGGAGAUCGGAAGCAUCGGCGGCGUGGCAGACCACUGGUUCAACAGCCUCUCAUCUGCUUGGCCUGUCCAACGGGCCUGUUUGGAUUGGGACGGCCCAUAAAGUUCAGUGUGGAGUUAAAUUGUCACUGUCAGACAGGAGCUGUUUACCGUUACUCGUUACACCCCGAUGAUUUAUCAGGUUUUCC